rnacentral:rRNA from 1 species
CACUUUGAGAUGGGGCUUGCGGUGUAUUAGCUAGUUGGUGGGGUAAUGGCUACCAAGGCAACGAUGCAUAUCCGAGCUGAGAGGCUGAUCGGACACACUGGGACUGAGACACGGCCCAGACUCCUACGGGAGACAGCAGUUAGGAAUAUUCGUCAAUGGGGGAAAACCCUGGAACGAGCAAUGCCGCGUGAGUGAUGAAGGCCCUAUGGGUUGUAAAACUCUGUUAUUUGGGAAGAAUGAACUAGUAUAGGAAAUGAUAUUAGUUUGACGGUACCUUAUCAGAAAGCCCCGGCCUAACUACGUGCC